UUCAUCCAAUCCACCUCCGCAGCAAGUAAAGGUAUAAGCAACCUGCUGUAGUAUUGGACAGUCUGGAUGUAUUAAUAAUAAAAAAUGAAAGAAAUCAAGAGCCGGGUAAUGUGUUAUGCAAUUAUGUAUUUAAAAAAAAUGCGGAAUUUGCAGCGAUUUCUUGGAAAGAACGAGUAAAAACGUUAUUGAAAGGCAGGAAAUAAUGACGUGGUUGCGUGAGAUUGUCGUUAAAAUAAUAACGAGUUUUUAAAAUUGGUUAAGAAUUAAACCUCGGCAUUAAACAUGCGCAAGACUUGAGUAAUUACAGCGAGCAGACUGGAAUAAAGAAAAAAAAAUAAAACUCUAAAACACUGUAAUGAUGAAUGUGCAAAAAAAAUAUAGAGGAGUUGAUUUAAAGGUAAAUAAUAACAGAGGUGACUGUUGCGGUAAAUUGCAAUACGACUGUCAUAGCCGCCCACAACUUACGGUCUCGAGUUAUGAAUAAAAAAAGCGAGGUCAGGCCGAGUGAUUGCGACUUGUAAGCAAA